UUCCUUUCCAAGGUCAGUUCCCUCCUUAUUUAGAUACCCCAGCCUUGCAAAGGUGCUCUUUACAGAGCCUGAUGUGGGAUUUUGGUUGCUUUUCCCUUUGUUCCAGCACGGUUUUGGGCUCAUCCACCCAAGGAUAUGAAAUAUCUGCUCAGGCCCAGCAAGGACUGAACCUCCUCUGCAGGGGGAGAGCUGAAACGCUUUGAGCGAGGGAAUUUUGCCGCAACUCCGAAAUGUUGGCCGCCUGCUCCGAGUGUUUCUCUUGCUCCAGUUGGUUUCAUCCUUUCCCUUUUGUGUGUUUUUGUUUGAAGGGAAGGUCAGGGAGCCGCUGGUGGCCCAGCAGAGCAGGAGGGAGCUGCCGCGAGAGCGCGGCCUGAGCCGCGGAGGCCGCCUGGAAGAGAACUUCUGACGGGAACAAAGGAAGCUGGAAGGACCCAGAGGUUUAAGCCACAACCCUUUGGAAACAAGAGAAGAGGAUGAAUUAAACUUACCACAGAAUGCUGGCUAGGAACAUUUUUUCUGGGGCAUCUUUAGGAAAAAGAUCCUGUCAAUAAAACCAGACCAGAUUUAUAGACUGACUGCACAGCCCAGGAAAGGACUGGAAUGCUCAACAGGGAAUGAGAUCACCAGAAAUGAGCCCAGGAACAUCCAGAGCUCACAGGAGAGGACACAGAAGCAGUUGGAGAUGGGAACACUUUUGGACUGGAUUUUGGAUUUUGCUGCAUGAAGCUGCAAAAAAUAAAAAGUCCAAGCGUUUCUCACAGGUUUUGUGAUUCUCACUGGAGUCAAAAGGAGUGUCAUAACUAAAAAUGCAGCUGAAGGCAGAAUGACUCCCAGAUUUGCUGUUGCAAGCUCUCCACCUUGCUCUGUUACAGGACAGAUAAACACAGGCUGAGGGGCUCUUUCCCUGCCAUUUUCUCCUGGUAUUUUUUCCCUCUGUUUGGAUUCCACGAUAUGAUAUAUGAAGUGAAAUCAAUAAUCCUCACUUUUCAGGUUAAGGGCACAGCUGAAUAAAUAAUUCAUAAGUCAUUGGAUCAAUGUGAUUUCAGAGAACAUCCACCAGCAGAGACCAGUUUUCUCAGAUAGCCCCAUUAUUUGAAAUUAUCUGACAAUUGUCUUGGGUAAAUUUUUAAGUCUUUAUAUUGACCAGAACUAAUUUGAAAUAAGCGCUUGCUAUUUGUGCCCUGCUACUUCUUUGUGACCUGCCAGCUCUGAGUCAUCUCGUGCUGCCUGAUUGGAUCAGCAGCAAAUCCUUGAUGAACAAGCCUUAAAAAAAUAGAAUUCCAGACUGGUUUGGGUCGGAAGGGAGAGUAAAACCCACCCAGUUCCAGCCCUGCCAUGGGCAGGGACACCUUCCAUAGACCAGGUUGCUCCAAGCUGGCCUUGGACACUUCCAGGG